UACGUAGGGGGCAAGCGUUGUCCGGAAUUAUUGGGCGUAAAGAGCUCGUAGGCGGUCUGUCGCGUCGGUCGUGAAAACUUGGGGCUUAACCCUGAGCUUGCGGUCGAUACGGGCAUGACUGGAGUUCGGUAGGGGAGACUGGAAUUCCUGGUGUAGCGGUGAAAUGCGCAGAUAUCAGGAGGAACACCGGUGGCGAAGGCGGGUCUCUGGACAGUUCCUGACGCUGAGGCACGAAGGCCAGGGGAGCAAACGGG
rnacentral:rRNA from 1 species